GGAAUUUUUCUGUACCGGCCGAAACGGUUUUACCCGCGUUAAACCAAAUGAUAUACGAACGGCUCGGAAAUCGUCAGACCGACCGUCGAAUCACCGGGUACAUCCGGAAUGCACAAAUCUAAAAAGCGCGUUCCGCAUAAACGCCAGGCCUCCGCGAUUGUUUUUCGACCGAAUCAUAAAACAGAAUCGGAAAACAACGGAAUCCGACGAUUUGAUGCCGUGCGCUUUCCCGUGUUACCACUGCAACAGCGGCGUGGCGAGAGGACCGUUUCGGUGUUCAAACACCCUGCCCCCCUCAACCCCCCUUUGACUACGUUUAUGCCAGAAAUUAUAAUUUUUUACUAUACGCAAUUACGCAUCAGAUUUCCACAAGAUGUGUUGUGUAACGCACGGGUAAUAAUUGAGUAAGACAAAAUAAAAACAUCUGAUUUACCACUGACAAGCGGACCGUCAAAACAUCACGCGAGACGCGACAACUUGCCACAUGCUCCGCACGUGGGUGCGGCCACUGUUGCAGGCGGGAGAUGGGGGAGGCAGGAUACGCACGGGAAUUGAAUGCAUAUCCGUAAGCAACGAUAAACCAUUGCUAACGAAAAAACUAUUCUGAGCGGAGUUCAGUUGAUAGUGUCGCUUUGUCAACAAUACAAUAAAUGGUCAUAUGUCAUAUUGUGAUCAAAUGAUUACAACAAUGUGCGUUUCCGUGGCAACAAUGAUUGUUUA